AGGUAAGCUACUAAGAGCGAAUGGUGGAUGCCUUGACUGGUAAAGGCGAUGAAGGACGUACUAGACUGCGAUAAGCUACGGGGAGCUGUCAAGAAGCUUUGAUCCGUAGAUUUCCGAAUGGGGCAACCCAAUGUAUAGAGAUAUACAUUACCUAUAUAGGAGCGAACGAGGGGAAUUGAAACAUCUUAGUACCCUCAGGAAAAGAAAUCAAUAGAGAUUGCGUCAGUAGCGGCGAGCGAAAGCGCAAGAGGGCAAACCCAGUGCUUGCACUGGGGGUUGUAGGACUGCAAUGUGCAAGAGGUAAGUUUAGCAGAACAUUCUGGAAAGUAUAACCAUAGAGGGUGAUAGUCCCGUAUGCGAAAAACAAACCUUAGUUAGCAGUAUCCUGAGUAGGGCGGGACACGAGGAAUCCUGUCUGAAUCCGGGUCGACCACGAUCCAACCCUAAAUACUAAUACCAGAUCGAUAGUGCACAAGUACCGUGAGGGAAAGGUGAAAAGAACUGAGGUGAUCAGAGUGAAAUAGAACCUGAAACCAUUUGCUUACAAUCAUUCAGAGCCCUAUGUAGCAAUACAGGGUGAUGGACUGCCUUUUGCAUAAUGAGCCUGCGAGUUGUGGUGUCUGGCAAGGUUAAGCAAACGCGAAGCCGUAGCGAAAGCGAGUCUGAAUAGGGCGCUUAGUCAGAUGCUGCAGACCCGAAACGAAGUGAUCUAUCCAUGAGCAAGUUGAAGCUAGUGUAAGAACUAGUGGAGGACUGAACCCAUAGGCGUUGAAAAGCCCCGGGAUGACUUGUGGAUAGGGGUGAAAGGCCAAUCAAACUUCGUGAUAGCUGGUUCUCUCCGAAAUAUAUUUAGGUAUAGCGUUGUGUCGUAAUAUAAGGGGGUAGAGCACUGAAUGGGCUAGGGCAUACACCAAUGUACCAAACCCUAUCAAACUCCGAAUACCUUAUAUGUAAUCACAGCAGUCAGGCGGCGAGUGAUAAAAUCCGUCGUCAAGAGGGAAACAACCCAGACUACCAGCUAAGGUCCCUAAAUCUUACUUAAGUGGAAAACGAUGUGAAGUUACUUAAACAACCAGGAGGUUGGCUUAGAAGCAGCCAUCCUUUAAAGAAAGCGUAAUAGCUCACUGGUCUAGUGAUUUUGCGCGGAAAAUAUAACGGGGCUAAAGUAAGUACCGAAGCUGUAGACUUAGUUUACUAAGUGGUAGGAGAGCGUUCUAUUUGCGUCGAAGGUAUACCGGUAAGGAGUGCUGGAGCGAAUAGAAGUGAGCAUGCAGGCAUGAGUAGCGAUAAUUAAUGUGAGAAUCAUUAACGCCGUAAACCCAAGGUUUCCUACGCGAUGCUCGUCAUCGUAGGGUUAGUCGGGUCCUAAGUCGAGUCCGAAAGGGGUAGACGAUGGCAAAUUGGUUAAUAUUCCAAUACCAACAUUAGUGUGCGAUGGAAGGACGCUUAGGGCUAAGGGGGCUAGCGGAUGGAAGUGCUAGUCUAAGGUCGUAGGAGGUUAUACAGGCAAAUCCGUAUAACAAUACUCCGAGAACUGAAAGGCUUUUUGAAGUCUUCGGAUG
rnacentral:rRNA from 1 species